CCUACGGGAGACAGCAGUGAGGAAUAUUGGUCAAUGGCCGGAAGGCUGAACCAGCCAUGCCGCGUGAAGGUCAGUGCCCUAUGGGCGUUAAACUUCUUUUGUGCGGGAGCAAUAAUGGUCACGUGUGGCCAGACGAGAGUACCGUACGAAUAAGCAUCGGCUAACUCCGUGCCAGCAGCCGCGGUAAUACGGGGGAUGCAAGCGUUAUCCGGAUUUAUGGGUUUUAAAGGGUGCGUAGGCUGUGAGGUAAGUCAGCGGUGAAAUGCCCCCGCUCAACGGGGUGAAGUGCCAUUGAUACUGCCUUGCUGGAAUGCGGAUGCCGUGGGAGGAAUGUGUGGUGUAGCGGUGAAAUGCAUAGAUAUCACACAGAACACCGAUUGCGAAGGCAUCUCACGAAUCCGCGAUUGACGCUGAUGCACGAAAGCGUGGGUAUCAAACAGGAUUAGAUACCCGUGUAGUC
rnacentral:rRNA from 1 species